rnacentral:rRNA from 1 species
CACGCCGUAAACGAUGUCAACUAGUUGUUGGGUUCCUUGAGGACUUAGUAACGCAGCUAACGCAUUAAGUUGACCGCCUGGGGAGUACGGCCGCAAGGUUAAAACUCAAAUGAAUUGACGGGGGCCCGCACAAGCGGUGGAGCAUGUGGUUUAAUUCGAAGCAACGCGAAGAACCUUACCUGGCCUUGACAUGCUGAGAACUUUCCAGAGAUGGAUUGGUGCCUUCGGGAACUAAGACACAGGUGC